rnacentral:lncRNA from 8 species
UAAUCAUGCCUCUCUGUCAGUGUUUGAGAGCAGCAGGCUGACAAUGAUUUCCUCCGUGAUUACGCACAGGGCGCGUCCCCGCGGGGAUGGGGCCCCCUCUGGAGCCGUCCUCAUGGCUUUGGGGGCCUCGCUUCCAUUUUCCAUUAUUAUGUGGACUACCGGAGCGACAGCGCAGAGCGAGACCUCGCAGAUGCAGAUGCUGCUGCUGAGAUCGAGUGUAAGCAUGAGGAUGAGAUCUGUUUGAAGAGUCGCAUCAGUGCUGAAGAGGAGGAAGAGGAGGAGGAAGAGCAGCUGUUCGAGCCCGUCACUGCACACAAGAGCCACCUCACAGGUAAGUGUACGAAGGUUGCU